rnacentral:rRNA from 1 species
UACAGAGGUCUCGAGCGUUGUCCGGAUUCAUUGGGCGUAAAGGGUGCGUAGGUGGCGCUGUAAGUCGGGUGUGAAAUCCUGAGGCUUAACCUCGGAACUGCAUUCGAUACUGCGGCGCUUGAGGACUGGAGAGGAGACUGGAAUUCAUGGUGUAGCAGUGAAAUGCGUAGAGAUCAUGAGGAAGACCAGUGGCGAAGGCGGGUCUCUGGACAGUUCCUGACACUGAGGCACGAAGGCCAGGGGAGCAAACGGG